CCUACGGGUGGCAGCAGUGAGGAAUAUUGGUCAAUGGACGAGAGCCUGAACCAGCCAAGUAGCGUGAAGGAUGACUGCGCUAUGGGUUGUAAACUUCUUUUAUAUGGGAGUAAAAUGUUCCACGUGUGGGAGUUUGUAUGUACCAUAUGAAUAAGGAUCGGCUAACUCCGUGCCAGCAGCCGCGGUAAUACGGAGGUUCCGAGCGUUAUACGGAUUUACUGGGUUUAAAGGGAGUGGAGGUGGGAUGUUAAGUCAGUAGUGAAAGUUUGGGGCUCAACCGUAAGAUUGCAGUUGAAACUGGACGUCGUGAGUGCAGUAGAGGUAAGCGGAAUUCGUGGUGUAGCGGUGAAAUGCGUAGAUAUCACGAAGAACUCCGAUUGCGAAGGCAGUUCACUGGACUGCAACUGACGCUGAGGCUCGAAAGUGUGGGUAUCAAACAGGAUGAGAUACCCUAGUAGUC
rnacentral:rRNA from 1 species